CCUACGGGGGGCAGCAGUCGAGAAUCAUUCACAAUGAGGGAAACCCUGAUGGUGCGACGCCGCGUGGGGGAAUGGAGGUCUUCGGAUUGUGAGCGCCGUUCUUGUGGGAGCAAAUUAAAAAGAUAGUACCACAAGAGGAAGAGACGGCUAAAUCUGUGACAGCAGCCGCGGUAAUACAGAGGUCGCAAGCGUUGUUCGGAAUCACUGGGCGUAAAGCGUGCUUAGGCUGUUUCGUAAGUCGUGUGUGAAUGGCCCGGGCUCAACCCGCGGACGGCACAUGAUACUGCGAGACUAGAGUAAUGGAGGGGGAAGCGGAAUUCUCGGUGAAGCAGUGAAAUGCGUAGAUAUAGGGAGGAACACUCGUGGCGAAGGCGGGUUACUGGACAUUAACUGACGCUGAGGCACGAAGGCCAGGGGAGCGAAAGGGAUUAGAUACCCGAGUAGUC
rnacentral:rRNA from 1 species